rnacentral:lncRNA from 1 species
AUGGCAGAGACGGGCAGCAGAGAUUGGCCAGUCAGGGAAGGUAAGGGGGCUCCAGCCUGGCCCCACUCUCCUUGCACAAUACUAAGGUCCCUGUUCUUGUCAGACUCAGCAUUCACAUCUGAAGGAUGGGGCCACAGACAGAUCAAGCACAGAAGCCACACAGCAAGCCAGAAGCGAGAUGCCACACUCAGGGGCCCAAGAUUAGCAGUGAAUGGAUCGGCUGAUUCGUGCAACUGGCCCCUCUACCUCUCAAUGAAACUGAUGUGCUGAAACGUGAAGCAGAGAGUGCUGCAGCCUUCUAGCUCCCCCUGAUCCUAAGGCCAAAAUCCUGAAAGCCCUCCUCCAUGGGAACAAUUACAAUGGCAAUAAGAAUCCUAAUAGCCCACAAUUAUCAAGCCCUAUAAUAAAUUCUUUCCAACAUUCCCUUUACAUCCUCUUGGUUAUGCAGGAGUGGGGCACAAUGAUUACCCCCCAUUACAGGAGAGGAAACU